rnacentral:rRNA from 1 species
GAUCCUGGCUCAGGAUGAACGCUAGCGACAGGCUUAACACAUGCAAGUCGAGGGGCAGCACAGGGUAGCAAUACUUGGGGUGGCGACCGGCGCACGGGUGAGUAACGCGUAUGCAACUUACCUAUCAGAGGGGGAGUAGCCCGGCGAAAGUCGGAUUAAUACCCCACUGAAACAAGGGGUCCCGGCCAUGGGAAGUAUUUGUUUAAAGUAAUUACAUCGCUGAUAGAUAAGGCGAUGCGGUUCCCGUACUUAAGGUCGAGG